GUGGGGAAUAUUGGACAAUGGGGGGAACCCCGAUCCAGCCAUGCCGCGUGUGUGAAGAAGGUCUUCGGAUUGUAAAGCACUUUAAGUUGGGAGGAAGGGCAGUAAGUUAAUACCUUGCUGUUUUGACGUUACCAACAGAAUAAGCACCGGCUAACUUCGUGCCAGCAGCCGCGGUAAUACGAAGGGUGCAAGCGUUAAUCGGAAUUACUGGGCGUAUAGCGCGCGUAGGUGGUUCAGCAAGUUGGAGGUGAAAUCCCCGGGCUCAACCUGGGAACUGCCUCCAAAACUACGGAGCUAGAGUACGGUAGAGGGUAGUGGAAUUUCCUGUGUAGCGGUGAAAUGCGUAGCUAUAGGAAGGAACACCAGGGGCGAAGGCGACUACCUGGACUGAUACUGACACUGAGGUGCGAAAGCGUGGGGAGCAAACAGGAUUAGAUACCCGUGUAGUCC
rnacentral:rRNA from 1 species